rnacentral:rRNA from 1 species
AUGCAAGUCGAACGGUAAGGCCCCUUCGGGGGUACACGAGUGGCGAACGGGUGAGUAACACGUGGGUAAUCUGCCCUGCACUUCGGGAUAAGCCUGGGAAACUGGGUCUAAUACCGGAUAUGAGCUCCUGCCGCAUGGUGGGGGUUGGAAAGUUUUUCGGUGCAGGAUGAGCCCGCGGCCUAUCAGCUUGUUGGUGGGGUAAUGGCCUACCAAGGCGACGACGGGUAGCCGGCCUGAGAGGGUGAUCGGCCACACUGGGACUGAGACACGGCCCAGACUCCUACGGGAGGCAGCAGUGGGGAAUAUUGCACAAUGGGCGGAAGCCUGAUGCAGCGACGCCGCGUGGGGGAUGACGGUCUUCGGAUUGUAAACCCCUUUCAGUAGGGACGAAGCGCAAGUGACGGUACCUGCAGAAGAAGCACCGGCCAACUACGUGCCAGCAGCCGCGGUAAUACGUAGGGUGCGAGCGUUGUCCGGAAUUACUGGGCGUAAAGAGCUCGUAGGCGGUUUGUCGCGUCGUCUGUGAAAUCCUCCAGCUUAACUGGGGGCGUGCAGGCGAUACGGGCAGACUUGAGUACUACAGGGGAGACUGGAAUUCCUGGUGUAGCGGUGAAAUGCGCAGAUAUCAGGAGGAACACCGGUGGCGAAGGCGGGUCUCUGGGUAGUAACUGACGCUGAGGAGCGAAAGCAUGGGUAGCGAACAGGAUUAGAUACCCUGGUAGUCCAUGCCGUAAACGGUGGGCGCUAGGUGUGGGGGUCUUCCACGACUUCCGUGCCGCAG